rnacentral:rRNA from 1 species
GAUAACUCCGGUGAAACCGGGGCUAAUACCGGAUAACAUUUUGAACCGCAUGGUUCGAAAUUGAAAGGCGGCUUCGGCUGUCACUUAUGAUGGACCCGCGUCGCAUUAGCUAGUUGGUAGGUAACGGCUCACCAAGGCAACGAUGCGUAGCCGACCUGAGAGGGUGAUCGGCCACACUGGGACUGAGACACGGCCCAGACUCCUACGGGAGGCAGCAGUAGGGAAUCUUCCGCAAUGGACGAAAGUCUGACGGAGCAACGCCGCGUGAGUGAUGAAGGCUUUCGGGUCGUAAAACUCUGUUGUUAGGGAAGAACAAGUGCUAGUUGAAUAAGCUGGCACCUUGACGGUACCUAACCAGAAAGCCACGGCUAACUACGUGCCAGCAGCCGCGGUAAUACGUAGGUGGCAAGCGUUAUCCGGAAUUAUUGGGCGUAAAGCGCGCGCAGGUGGUUUCUUAAGUCUGAUGUGAAAGCCCACGGCUCAACCGUGGAGGGUCAUUGGAAACUGGGAGACUUGAGUGCAGAAGAGGAAAGUGGAAUUCCAUGUGUAGCGGUGAAAUGCGUAGAGAUAUGGAGGAACACCAGUGGCGAAGGCGACUUUCUGGUCUGUAACUGACACUGAGGCGCGAAAGCGUGGGGAGCAAACAGGAUUAGA